GCUGGGAUGGCCGAGUCGUUAAGGCGAGUGAUUUGAAUGUUCUGAUCACUUGGUGUUUCACCGCGUAGGUUCAAAUCCUGCUUCCAGCG